CUUGCACCUUUCAAGCGAGUGGCGAACGGGUGAGUAACACGUGGAUAACCUGCCUCAAGGCUGGGGAUAACAUUUGGAAACAGAUGCUAAUACCGAAUAAAACUUAGUAUCGCAUGAUACAAAGUUGAAAGGCGCUACGGCGUCACCUAGAGAUGGGUCCGCGGUGCAUUAGUUAGUUGGUGGGGUAAAGGCCUACCAAGACAAUGAUGCAUAGCCGAGUUGAGAGACUGAUCGGCCACAUUGGGACUGAGACACGGCCCAAACUCCUACGGGAGGCUGCAGUAGGGAAUCUUCCACAAUGGGCGAAAGCCUGAUGGAGCAACGCCGCGUGUGUGAUGAAGGCUUUAGGGUCGUAAAGCACUGUUGUAUGGGAAGAAAUGCUAGAAUAGGGAAUGAUUCUAGUUCGACGGUACCAUACCAGAAAGGGACGGCUAAAUACGUGCCAGCAGCCGCGGUAAUACGUAUGUCCCGAGCGUUAUCCGGAUUUAUUGGGCGUAAAGCGAGCGCAGACGGUUGAUUAAGUCUGAUGUGAAAGCCCGGAGCUCAACUCCGGAAUGGCAUUGGAAACUGGUUAACUUGAGUGUUGUAGAGGUAAGUGGAACUCCUGGGUGAAACGG
rnacentral:rRNA from 1 species